rnacentral:rRNA from 1 species
AACGAACGCUGGCGGCGCGUCUUAAGCAUGCAAGUCGAACGGCAAGAUUUGAAGCUUGCUUCAAAUCCUAGAGUGGCGGACUGGUGAGUAACACGUGGGUGACUGACCCUUCAGUUGGGGAUAGCUAUUAGAAAUAGUAGGUAAUACCGAAUACGACCGUAGUAGUAGAGGACUACGAGGAAAGGAGCUUAGGCUUCGCUGAAGGAAAGGCCCCGCGGCCCAUUAGCUAGUUGGAGUGGUAAAGGCACACCAAGGCAAUGAUGGGUAUCCGGCCUGAGAGGGUGAUCGGACACAUUGGGACUGAGAUACGGCCCAGACUCCUACGGGAGGCAGCAGCUAAGAAUAUUCCGCAAUGGACGAAAGUCUGACGGAGCGACGCCGCGUGGAUGAAGAAGGUGGAAACAUUGUAAAAUCCUUUUGAACUGGAAGAAGAAGUGGUGUAGGGAAUGACAUCAUGGUGACGGUACAGUUUGAAUAAGCAACGGCUAAUUACGUGCCAGCAGCCGCGGUAACAC